UACGAAGGGUGCAAGCGUUACUCGGAAUUACUGGGCGUAAAGCGUGCGUAGGUGGUUCGUUAAGUCUGAUGUGAAAGCCCUGGGCUCAACCUGGGAAUUGCAAUGGAUACUGGCGGGCUAGAGUGUGUCAGAGGAUGGUGGAAUUCCCGGUGUAGCGGUGAAAUGCGUAGAGAUCGGGAGGAACAUCAGUGGCGAAGGCGGCCAUCUGGGACAACACUGACGCUGAGGCACGAAAGCGUGGGGAGCAAACAGG
rnacentral:rRNA from 1 species